UCAGUGACAAACUGCUAGGAUUUGGUUUCAGACCAAUCCCUAGUACAGACAUUUAAAAUCGAAACCUAGGUUUUCCUGGACGCAUAGGAGCCCCUCCCCUGGCCCCGCCCACGUGGAUGGAGGCGUGCCGUUAACACGGGUCUGCGGAUGAAGCUGGAACGUGUACUCCGGCCGCACCAUUUCUGCGGCGGGAUCUGGAAGAGUGGUGCCUGACGUGCUAAACCCACCUUUCCACCAGAUGGCAGGCCUUGCUCAGAAAGAAGAAUCAGAACCUCAUCUUUGUCAUCUAAGUACC
rnacentral:lncRNA from 1 species